rnacentral:rRNA from 1 species
UACAGAGGGUGCAAGCGUUAAUCGGAAUUACUGGGCGUAAAGCGCGCGUAGGUGGUUUUUUAAGUUGAAUGUGAAAUCCCCGGGCUCAACCUGGGAACUGCAUCCAAAACUGGCAAGCUAGAGUAGGGCAGAGGUUGGUGGAAUUUCCUGUGUAGCGGUGAAAUGCGUAGAUAUAGGAAGGAACACCAGUGGCGAAGGCGACCCCCUGGGUUCAUACUGACACUGAGGUGCGAAAGCGUGGGGAGCAAACAGG